GACGAACGCUGGCGGCGUGCUUAACACAUGCAAGUCGAACGGUAAGGCCCUUCGGGGUACACGAGUGGCGAACGGGUGAGUAACACGUGGGUAAUCUGCCCUGCACAUCGGGAUAAGCCUGGGAAACUGGGUCUAAUACCGAAUAGGACCACAGAACACAUGUCCUGUGGUGGAAAGCUUUUGCGGUGUGGUAUGGGCCCGCGGCCUAGCAGCUUGUUGGUGGGGUGAUGGCCCACCAAGGCGACGACGGGGAGCCGGCCUGAGAGGGUGUCCGGCCACACUGGGACUGAGAUACGGCCCAGACUCCUACGGGAGGCAGCAGUGGGGAAUAUUGCACAAUGGGCGAAAGCCUGAUGCAGCGACGCCGCGUGGGGGAUGACGGCCUUCGGGUUGUAAACCUCUUUCACCAUCGACGAAGGUCUGGGUUUUCUCAGGCUGACGGUAGGUGGAGAAGAAGCACCGGCCAACUACGUGCCAGCCGCCGCGGUAA
rnacentral:rRNA from 1 species